UACGGAGGGGGCAAGCGUUAUCCGGAAUCACUGGGUUUAAAGGGUGCGAAGGCGGCUAUGCAAGUCUGCCGUGAAAGUUCUUGGCUUAACCUAAGAGCCUGCGAUUGAUACUGUGUAACUUGAAUAGAGUUGAGGUAUGCGGAAUGUGACGUGUAGCGGUGAAAUGCAUAGAUAUGUCAUAGAACACCGAUUGCGAAGGCAGCAUGCUGGGCUUUAAUUGACGCUGAGGGACGAAAGCGUGGGGAGCAAACAGG
rnacentral:rRNA from 1 species